CCUGCCCCUAGAAGUGUUGUAGGUGCGGCUAUUGGGACACAGGUACAUCAGUAGGUGCCAGAGAGAGGCUAUGUCUACACUCAGUGCUCUGACCUAGGAACAUCUGAAUGAGUACUAGCCUAACAUU